rnacentral:lncRNA from 1 species
UUGGUUUCUAGAUCAAUAAGAAAUAAUGUUGGCAUUGGGCAUGAAAAACAGUGCUGGGAAGUGGCAGUGUGUGCUUAUAUCGCUGUGAAUGUCCCAUUGUAGCUGACAGUGAGAGAAAAGGAAGACACAGGUGACCAAGCUUUUGAGUGCCAUAUGGGCAAUAUGGAGCCAUUGAAAGAUUUUAAAACAAUGAAAUGAAAUGGACAAAUUCUAUUUUUAAAAAAAUCUUUAUAGAUCUGAGACUCUAUAGAGAAUAGAUUUGCAGGGUUAAUUCUAAAAGAAAGUAAGUUAAAAUUAAUCAAAUGUGACCAGGGAUUCAAACAACAUAUAAGGAGUGAUGAUCAACAGCAUGGAAUAAAUUCACCAGUGUUGAGUAUUUGUAACUAAUAACUAUACCAACAAGUAACAGAACACAGAUUGUGUGUAAGUGGGACCAAGUGGUCAAGGAGACCAUAUAGCAUGAAAUGUUGUCUGUAUGUUUUAGGCAAUUCUUUGUCACUGAAUAUACUUUUAAUCUUGCUUUCUA